AUUGAACGCUGGCGGCAGGCCUAACACAUGCAAGUCGAACGGUAACAGGAAGAAGCUUGCUUCUUUGCUGACGAGUGGCGGACGGGUGAGUAAUGUCUGGGAAACUGCCUGAUGGAGGGGGAUAACUACAGGAAACGGUAGCUAAUACCGCAUAACGUCGCAAGACCAAAGAGGGGGACCUUCGGGCCUCUUGCCAUCGGAUGUGCCCAGAUGGGAUUAGCUAGUAGGUGGGGUAACGGCUCACCUAGGCGACGAUCCCUAGCUGGUCUGAGAGGAUGACCAGCCACACUGGAACUGAGACACGGUCCAGACUCCUACGGGAGGCAGCAGUGGGGAAUAUUGCACAAUGGGCGCAAGCCUGAUGCAGCCAUGCCGCGUGUAUGAAGAAGGCCUUCGGGUUGUAAAGUACUUUCAGCGGGGAGGAAGGGAGUAAAGUUAAUACCUUUGCUCAUUGACGUUACCCGCAGAAGAAGCACCGGCUAACUCCGUG
rnacentral:rRNA from 1 species